AACUAACAUUGGCGGCAGGCCUAACACAUGCAAGUCGAGCGAGGUUUAGAACCGAGCGGCGAACGGGUGCGUAAUACAUGGAAAUCUGCCUCGGAGUGGGGGAUAACCGGCAGAAAUGCUGGAUAAUACCGCAUAAUCCAUAUUGGGAAAGCGCGCAGCGCUCUGAGAUGAGUCCAUGCCUGAUUAGCUAGAUGGUGGGGUAAAAGCCUACCAUGGCGACGAUCAGUAGCUGGUCUUAGAGGAUGAUCAGCCACACUGGAACUGAGACACGGUCCAGACUCCUACGGGAGGCAGCAGUGGGGAAUCUUGCACAAUGGGGGCAACCCUGAUGCAGCCAUGCCGCGUGAACGAUGACGGUCUUCGGAUUGUAAAGUUCUUUUGGCGGGACGACGAUGACGGUACCCGCAGAAUAAGUCACGGCUAACUUCGUGCCAGCAGCCGCGGUAAUGUAGUCGUG
rnacentral:rRNA from 1 species